GACGAACGCUGGCGGCGUGCUUAACACAUGCAAGUCGAACGGAAAGGCCCUGCUUUUGUGGGGUGCUCGAGUGGCGAACGGGUGAGUAGCACGUGAGUAACCUGCCCUUGACUUUGGGAUAACUUCAGGAAACUGGGGCUAAUACCGGAUAGGAGCUCCUGCUGCAUGGUGGGGGUUGGAAAGUUUCGGCGGUUGGGGAUGGACUCGCGGCUUAUCAGCUUGUUGGUGGGGUAGUGGCUUACCAAGGCUUUGACGGGUAGCCGGCCUGAGAGGGUGACCGGCCACAUUGGGACUGAGAUACGGCCCAGACUCCUACGGGAGGCAGCAGUGGGGAAUAUUGCACAAUGGGCGGAAGCCUGAUGCAGCAACGCCGCGUGCGGGAUGACGGCCCUCGGGUUGUAAACCGCUUUCGCCUGUGACGAAGCGUGAGUGACGGUAAUGGGUAAAGAAGCACCGGCUAACUACGUG
rnacentral:rRNA from 1 species